rnacentral:rRNA from 1 species
GAUGAACGCUGGCGGCGUGCCUAAUACAUGCAAGUCGAGCGAACAGACGAUGAGCUUGCUCCUCUGACGUUAGCGGCGGACGGGUGAGUAACACGUGGAUCACCUACCUAUCUGACUGGUAUAACUUCGGGAAACCGGAUCUAAUACCGUAUAAUAUAUUGAACCGCAUGGUUCAAUAGUGAAAGACGGUUUUGCUGUCACUUAUAGCUGGAUCCGCGCCGCAUUAGCUAGUUGGUAAGGUAACGGCUUACCAAGGCAACGAUGCGUAGCCGACCUGAGAGGGGGAUCGGCCACACUGGAACUGAGACACGGUCAAGACUCCUACGGGAGGCAGCAGUAGGGAAUCUUACGCAAUGGGCGAAAGCAUGACGGAGCAACGCCGCGUGAGUGAUGAAGGUCUUCGGAUCGUAAAACUCUGUUAUGAGGGAAGAACAAAUGUGUAAGUAAAUAUGCACGUCUUGACGGUAACUAAUCAGAAAGCCACGGCUAACUACGUG